GCUGAAUGGGUGAGAGGGCAGAAGGGCUUCAGAGGGACGAGACAGAGGCAGAGCAUCGAGUCGUAGGGAAAGAAGUGGACAGAUGGCCCUAUCAGUGAUCAUCAUCACUUGUGCGGUCCUAUCAAUCUACCUAUGCAUUUCUACGCCACCUCUCACCAGAGUGCUUAGCUCCUGUCCUCCCUAAGCAAUGACGUUAAUAUUGAAGUUGCUUCUUGUCAGGCUACUUUGUGACAACUACAGAAACAAAACUAGAACAGACAGCUUUGGAGAAAAGGCAACUUUGUAUAUAUCAGCUACAUGAAGAUUAAAGACACUUAAAAUGGUA